rnacentral:rRNA from 1 species
AACCUUUACACUGUACGCAAGUGCGAUAAGGGGACUCCGAGUGUGAAGGCAUAGAGCCUUCACUUUUGUACACCGUAAGGUGGUGUACGAAUAAGGGCUGGGCAAGACCGGUGCCAGCCGCCGCGGUAAUACCGGCAGCCCGAGUGAUGGCCGAUCUUAUUGGGCCUAAAGCGUCCGUAGCUGGCCGCACAAGUCCAUCGGAAAAUCCACCCGCUCAACGGGUGGGCGUCCGGUGGAAACUGUGUGGCUUGGGACCGGAAGGCGCGACGGGUACGUCCGGGGUAGGAGUGAAAUCCCGUAAUCCUGGACGGACCGCCGAUGGCGAAAGCACGUCGCGAGAACGGAUCCGACAGUGAGGGACGAAAGCUAGGGUCUCGAACCGGAUUAGAUACCCGGGUAGUCCUAGCCGUAAACAAUGCCUGCUAGGUGUGGCUCCCACUACGAGUGGGUGCUGUGCCGUAGGGAAGCCGCUAAGCAGGCCGCCUGGGAAGUACGUCCGCAAGGAUGAAACUUAA